GUGGGUGUAGCUCAGUCGGUAGAGCACCAGGUUGUGGCCCUGGUGGCCGCCGGUUCAAUCCCGGUCACUCACCCCA
rnacentral:tRNA from 1 species